rnacentral:rRNA from 1 species
CCAGACUCCUACGGGAGGCAGCAGUGGGGAAUAUUGCACAAUGGGGGAAACCCUGAUGCAGCGACGCCGCGUGAGUGAAGAAGUAUCUCGGUACGUAAAGCUCUAUCAGCAGGGAAGAAAAAAAGUCCUUCGGACUUUGGACGGUACCUGAUUAAGAAGCCCCGGCUAACUACGUGCCAGCAGCCGCGGUAAUACGUAGGGGGCAAGCGUUAUCCGGAUUUACUGGGUGUAAAGGGAGCGCAGGCGGCACGGCAAGCCUGAUGUGAAAGCCCGCGGCCCAACCGCGGGACUGCAUUGGGAACUACCGGGCUGGAGUGCCGGAGAGGUAGGCGGAAUUCCUAGUGUAGCGGUGAAAUGCGUAGAUAUUAGGAGGAACACCAGUGGCGAAGGCGGCCUACUGGACGGUGACUGACGCUGAGGCUCGAAAGCGUGGGGAGCAAACAGGAUUAGAUACCCGUGUA